rnacentral:rRNA from 1 species
UACGUAGGUGGCAAGCGUUGUCCGGAUUUACUGGGCGUAAAGGGCGUGCAGGCGGUUUGUUAAGUCUAGGGUGAAAGCUCCCGGCUCAACUGGGAGAGGUCCUUGGAUACUGGCAGACUUGAGGAGGGUAGAGGAGAGUGGAAUUCCCGGUGUAGUGGUGAUAUGCGUAGAUAUCGGGAGGAACACCAGCGGCGAAGGCGGCUCUCUGGGCCCUACCUGACGCUGAGACGCGAAAGCGUGGGGAGCGAACCGG